GCUCGUCGUGGCCGUUGGCUGGACUUGUUCCUUGCCCUGGGGCCAAGGGUAUAAGUUGGAGGCCCUCGUGACUCUCCCCCUUGGCCUAAGUCAGCGUCCAUGCCUCCACCAGAUAGGGAGAAACAACAGAGAGGGAGAAAAGGGAAUCCACGCCGCCCCCGCCAAAUCUCAUCCACAUCAUCGGUCGGAGUCAAGCUGGUGACUAGGGCGCUUUGUCGACGCUCGGGGAUGACGUAAAUCGCAUCUUGAUGGGAGAAUUCGGGCCAUGGACUACGGAAUUUCUCGCCGAAGACUUGGGUUGCCGCAGAUCCGCUUUGCGUCAUGGUCGGGAGUGCCUGCUACAUGAUAGACAGUAAGCAACCCUCUUCGUAGUUUUGCUUCAUUCCUGCUUUGUUUAGCUCGGGUAAGCAUAGAAUACGGGUCAUUGGGGGACUGGAUCCCCUGGCUCCGGUGGGUGCGCAGUCGGAAGGCUCGCGCGGGCCACUACGGCUUGGAGCUGAGGAGGAAGAAGAGGGGACCGUUGAUCUUGGAACGGACGCUGCAGAUUAGAUGGGAGAAUACCCGUUCGAUGAAGGGAUCUGAGUCGUGUAGAUGGGAUUGGGCGGUUUAGAUUAGAUCACGACACAUUAAAUCGGCACCGUGAGUUCUUGAUCCUGUGGAUGCCGGUUGAGUACCGGUUCAUUAAAAGAUUAAUCUAAUAUGGGCACUCGAUUGGUGAUCCAAUGGCUCAAAUGAGCCUGUGCUCCUUCGACUGCGAUAAAGUGCAAAUGAGCCCCUCGGUUUUCAAAGAAACAACCCGCCAUCCCUUGUCGUGUUAAGUAAUUGGGUAUAGGCCCCUAGAAUUUACAAAUUGAUCCCCGUAGCUAGUAAAACUAGUAUAAAGUGAUCCUAAAUCUUAUUUAAUGCAUAUCUUCCACGUUUUAACUCCGAUUUAACCCAUUCAAGUUGCAUUAUGUUUGUUAUAAUGUAUUCUACCCUUGGUAAACCUUAUUUUACUAUUUAACAUGUCUGCAAAAAAUUGAUUUGCCCCAUGUUUACGAGAUUAGCUUGUCUAAAGCAAAGCUAAAAUAUUUCAUCUAGCGUUUGAUUAAAGUAUAACCUCUAGACAAGUUAUAACCUAUAUUAAGGAUAAAUUAGUUAUUUAUUUGUCAUAACCUAUGGCGGAACUGCCCAGAUUAUUCUAGAUUAAGUGCCCGAGUCACGUCUUGGACGCAGCAACACACUUAAAUCAGAAUAACCCGUCAGUCCCUCGGAUCUACUCCGAUAAAGCCACUUACCAAGGAUCGAAUACCACUAGCUCACACGAUGGUGAGUUGCAGAGAGAAUACAAUAAACAUGAAACCACAAAUUAAUGUACUAGAGUUAUUACAUAAAUCGGAGUUUUAAUAAAAGAUAACAAAUUCUUAAUAAAAUGCAGCGGAUAAUCGAUAACGACGAUACUGAGGAAUAGGGCAAGGCCUAGCCCACAACUUCCCCUAGUCCUCUCCUAUCGAGGCAGCAUCCCACUCGUCCGUCCAACCCGGUGGCAGGGUGGAAGGCCAAGUCACAUCAUCAACCAUAUUCUGUAGCGUACCUGAAAAAAAUAUGCCCCAAGCAAGGCUGUGUAUACUAAUACUAAGCUAGACUUACCCGGUGUGAGGAGUCUACUCCUCUACCUCUAGACCAUGCAGUUGUUUGGCUGAGGGGUUAGUUUGCCAAAAGCACUAGCUGAGUCUACAAAUAAUUUUAGCCUUUUCCAGUUCUAGCAUAUUUAAUUAAGCUAGGUUUGCUCCUUUCUAAGCAUACAUAGUAACAAUCAUUUAGUACAAUCAACAUGUUAUAACAAGUAAAACCACAUUUCACUUUUUACUCGAUGCAGUACAAGGGGUCAAGCAGUCUCAUUAGUUGCGAGAAGCAGACGAUUCAAAUCGAGUUUUAACCUUGCAAGGUAAACCUAAACAUAGAACAUGUAGGGGCACUCCGUCCCACACAUAUCAACCGUCCCUAAUUAGCAAAGCAGCUACUCGACCUAGCAUACUAGUAUCCAUCUCAAAAAUGAAUCCUGAGUUUAUGCAACUAGGGUUUCAGGCAACUCCUACGCUUAAGUGCACAUUACAAACCUAUAACCAUUAAGUGUAGUAAAGUAGCAUAUACAAAUAGUUAUGCAUAAAACCGGGGCUCGCCUUCAAAAGUUGGGGUUGUGGGGAGAUCCUCAGUGGCAGGCUCUUGAGCUGGCUCCUGGACAUCCUCUUGGGCAACUUCUUGCUCGAGGAUGAGCACGUACUCUCCGUUAGCGAGGUUGCAAUCAAAAUGAAUGCAAUGAAUGAGAUAAAUGUAUGCUAUGAUAUGUAAAUUUAAUAAUUAAAAUGCAAGGUGAAGUACUCAAGUUAGCAGGACGGGUCUUAGUUCCACUAUUGAGGAUUUUAGUGGUACUUGGUAUUUAGAAGUAGGUGUGGCCAGUCUAGGAAGUUGGAUUAAUGUUGUACUCAACAAUCCUUCAAUGUCUUUGUGAAGACUUAAUAAGGUUUUUGGCUGGAGUUAUUUAUGGCUUAAUUUAGUACUUCAUUAAUCCUUUCUUUUCCUUUUUCUACUUAGGCUUUUAGAGUGGCUUUGAACUACAAUACUGAUUUAAAAAUUCACAAAAAUUCUGUAAAAAAUACAGUGGCUUCUCAUUGGUUUAUAUAAUUCAGUCUAAAAAAUUGAGGCUUAAAAUGAGAAUGGUUUUCUCUACACAAAAAUAUUAAAAUUUAGGGCAGAGGGGGUGCUUUGAACUACAACUCUCUUCUAGGAGUGGAUUUUACCCUAGGGUUUAUUUUUGCUGGUAUCUAGGUGUAAUAAUAUGACUUUAUGCCAAAUUUUAGUCAAAGAUACUUACUGGUUGAUUUUCUAAAGUUUGGGGGCUUAGUGGUGCUUUCCACUACUAUUUUUGAAAAAUGUCAAACAACAGAUUUCCUAAUUUUUCUAUCUUCUUCUUUGCGCAAGAGCAAUCAUUCUUAAAGUUGGUUAAUUUUUCUUAAUAGGGAAUGGGUUGUAAGAUUUCUUGGAAUAUAUGGUCUUUUUCAUGUGGCAGGGGGUGAGGUGUAUUCCAUUACAUUUUUACCUUAGUAUUAUAUUUUCUCUUGUAGUAUACAACAUAAGUACUUAGGUAAAAACAAGGGUUGCUCACUGUUUCCCAUUUUUAGUCUUUCUUUUGAUUUAUUUGAAGUAUUGGAAAAAUCCAAGUUUUAUUUGUCUAACUCGCUUACUAUGAUGGUUUGGGGUGGUUACAAUUUUUGCUGUGGUACAUUAGUGGUCAAGGGUCUACUAAAUUUUUCUUGCCAUUAUUGCAUGUGUCCUUAUAUUUUUAAUCAUGGUCUUUAUUAACUUAUUAACACCUAAAUAAAAUUAUAAACUCAGAUUAGUACUGGACUAGGGUUCCAUAUAUUUUUCCUAUGAACUACAUCACUUAGGCAUACUAGGAAAAAUGUGGUCACCCUCUGGUUUCUAUUUUCUAUCCCCUUUUCAUUUUCCUAAAGUUUGGGCAGAAAUAGGCUUUAAUGGAUAUAUCUGGUUUAGCCUUGUAUACUGUGGUGUUUAUUAUUUUUAAACAGUGUAACUACUAGGUGAGUGUCUCCACAAUUUUUCUCAAACCUAGUCUAGAAGCAUUUCUAUUUUUCUCUGCAUUAUUAAGAUUUGGGCAGUUUUAUAAUUUAAUUCAAAACUCUAAAAAUAGUACAGAAAACAUGGGGUUUACUAUUUUUGCUUGAUAGUUCAUAUUUUACAGAGUCCAGCAAAAUUAAUUUGACCAAAUUUGGAUGAAUACUCCUUAAGUUAUGCAUUUAUCAAGUUUGCUGCAGAUUUAAUAACUGAGAAAUUCAAAAAGGAAAAAGAAAAUCAUCUUUGCGCUGAAGUCCCUGGUUCUAUUUUACCCUUUCUCUCACAGGUUAGCCCUCGGUAUACUAUUCAUGUGAGUCGCUGACAUUACAGAAAACCCCCUAGGGUUAACCUAAAUCUAACCUGUGCUCCUAACCUUACUGGAACAGUAACUGCGACAGAGGAAAGGGUGGCGGGGCUUACUGGCGGCGAUCUAGCUUCGGUGAAGGGUCCACAGAGGUCGGGGAGGUCACGGCGGUCACGUCGAUGGUCGGCUCGUCGCUGGCGGUGGUCGGAGUCGGUCGAACCUAGUGCGCAGACGGGGGAGCUCGUCGGCGGCGAGUGUUCAGGCCUAACCACAACGGUAGGAUUCGAUUAAACCAUGCAGCGAGCUUCACUAGGUGUCAGGGAAGACAUGGGCGCGAGUAUUCGAACUAUGGCUUACCGGUUAGUCGUGGCCACGCGCGCCGGCAGAGGAAACAACUCCGGCGAGGGUGGAACGGCAUAUCUGGUGAGGUAGCGUUCAGUUUCUUGCUUCAGGGAGCAUUACGGGGCUCUGGGGAAGCUAGCCGAGGCUCUGGAUCGAUUGGAGGUUGCCGGGAAAAGGUCUAGCCACGGUGGCCGAGCUCUAGCGGUGGUGGCGGGUCACGGGUAGGUCGUCGGAGCUAUAGGCUGGCUUUGGGGAGUUGGGCACGCUGCAGAGGGAGUACGGCCGAGGCCGUGCUGCUCUUAUAGGCGUGGCGCGGUGCACAGUCGAGCGUGGAACGGUGAGGGCGCACGGGCGAACGUGACUCGGCGCGGGCGCGCGGGCGCGCGGGCAGGCGUGCACCGGCGCGUCGGCCGCGGUCGAGCACGUGGCACAUUACUUUUGUUCCUGUUCCAACGCCCAUAGGCUCCAAAUCUUCGCGAAUUUGGGAAAGAUCAUAUUGUAAGAUAUGUUCCCUGGGGUAUGCUUCGUCGUUUUUGUGUGGGAUCCGAGAGGUUUUCGGCCGUGUACAGAGAGUUGUCGCGUAGUCAAAUCGUUAGUGUCUGGCUGCUGCAUCCCGAGGCAAAUCGAUGCCAAGAUCAUGUCAAAGGGCUGGGGUUUGUCCCAAAUUUUGCCAGGGCGUGCCUAAGGUAAUUUGGCGCCAAUUUGUUAUUUGGACCUCACAUAUUUGAGCCUUGGAACUAGGUGAACACGGUUGAUUUUGAUGAGAAGGUUAGAUUUCAGAAUUAUGAAUUUCUGAUUUUCCUUUGAAGUCUCCACUUAAGUGGUUGUUUUGAGAAUUUUGCAAAAACCCUUUUGAUUAAACUUCCUUACUAUAUUUUGUAGCUUAUUUAGUGUACUACAACUUUUUUAAUUGGUCCAAAUCAUGGUUUUAUGUUUUCAUAGCCUUUUCACUAAAUUUCUUGGUGGUACUUAAAAAGGCUUAAUAGGGUAGUUUUAGGGUUUGAGAAUUUUGCUCACUUUGGGGUGCAUGAUGUGGUUAGGGUAUGAUUCUUGGGAUGAAAAGACUUGAUUUAGUUUUAGCAUUUCAAGUUUGGUGUCUUUUGCUCAACUUAAUUCACAUGUGAUAAUGUUCACAAAUAUGGGUGUGUAGGGAAAAUCCUAAGUAACACCUAGGGUGUUACAGCCCUCCCCCUUAAAAGAAUCUUGCCCUGAGAUUCGGGUCGGGGUCCUCUAGGGGUGAGGAAAAAGGUUACAACUUGCUUUCAUGGUAUUGGUUUGCUUAUAAGGUUCUUUAGAUAAUCUGCUCUUCGAAUGUCAUCCUCUUUGCAACUUCAAAAGGAAGCCCUUUUUGUUCUAGUUUUAUAGCUUAACUUGGUUUAUGUUAAGAUCAUAUUUCUUAUAUUUGGAUUCAGAGAGCAGGGGUCUGGGGUAUGUGAAAGUCGCCUAGAGGGGGGUGAAUAGGCGGAAUCUGAUUCUUACAACUUUAAACACACACUACAAGCCGGGGUUAGCAUUAGAACAAAUAUCAAGUCCGGGAGAGAGGGGAAAAACAAAUCAACCAAGAAAUAGAGCAGAUGAACACGGUGAUUUGUUUUACCGAGGUUCGGUUCUAAAGAACCUAGUCCCCAUUGAGGUGAUCACAAAGACCGGGUCUCUUUCAACCAUUUCCCUCUCUCAAACGGUCACCUAGACCGAGUGAGCUUUCUCCUUAAUCAAAUAUGUCACUUAGACCCCGCAAGGACCACCACACACUUGGUGUCUCUUGCUUUGAUUACAAGUCACUUGAGAACAAGAAUGAGGAACGAACAAAGCGAUCCAAGAAGCAAGAGCGCAAAGAACACGAACAAAACACUCUCUCUAGUCACUAGGUGUUUGGAAUGAAUUUGGGACUUGGAGAGGCUUUGAUUCUUUUGAAUUAUGUCUAGGAGUGAAUGCACUAGCUCUUGUAUUAAAUGUGAAGUGCUAGAAACUUGGAUGCUUGGAGUGGUGGUAGUUGGGGGCUAUUUAUAGCCCUCAACCACCACAUAGCCGUUGGGGAUGGCUAUUGUCGAUGGGCGCACCGGACAGUCCGGUGCGCUAGCCACAUCACCCAACCAUUAGGGUUCGGGAGCUUCUGACCGUUGGAGGCUUUGUCUUAUAGUAGCACCGGACAGUCCAGUGCCGCACCGGACAGUCCAGUGCCGCACCGGACAAGCACUGUUCACUGUCCGGUGCGCCUCUGACAGGCGGCUCUGACUCUGCUUGCACUAUUCUUCACUGUUCAUCUGAUUCUUCAGCUUUUGCAGUCGACCGUUGCGCAAAGGAGUCGUUGUUCCGAUGGUGCACUGGACAGUCCGAUGGCACAUCGGACAGUCUGGUGAAUUAUAGCGGAGAGCGUUCUGAGAAACCCGAGAGUGGAGAGUUGGACGUUGUACGGUCUUGGUGCACCGGACACUGUCCGGUGCGCCAGACCAGGUCAUACUCGAUUUUUUUGCUCCUUUGAAUUUGAUCCCUAACUUCAAUCUUUUAUUGGUUUGUGUUGAACCUUUAUGCACCUAUAGAAUAUAUAAUCUAGAGCAAACUAGUUAGUCCAAUAUUUGUGUUGGGCAUCCAACCACCAAAAUUAUUUAUAGGAAAAGGUUAAACCCUAUUUCCCUUUCAGUAUGGUUACGUACCGACUUCCUUAGCUAGACAAUCGGGGUAGUUUGUGCACAGAAAAUCCUCAGUCUCCCAUGUAGCCUCUUCCUCUGAAUGGUUGCUCCAUUGGAUUUUAUACAUCUUGAUCGUUCUUGCACGAAUUGAUCUUUCCUUGCAAUCCAGAACCUUGGAGGGGUGUUCUUGGUAUGAUAGAUCUGGCUCUAUCUCCACAUCUGGCUCGUUUAUGACAUCUGUUAGUAACCGAACACACUUCUUCAAUUAGGGUACAUGGAUCACAUUAUGGAUGGUAGACAUCUUUGGAGGUAGCUUCAAUUUGUAUGCCACUGGUCCACAUGCUUUUAUGAUUUCAUAAGGUCCAACGUAGCGAGGGGCUAACUUGCCUUUGAUCCAAACCUUUGCACUCCUUUUGUGGGCGAUACUUUCAGAUAUAUGAUAUCUCCCACUUCAAACUGGAGGGGUUUCCUCCUCUUAUCGUGGUAACUCUUUGCCUGGCCUGAGCAGCUUCUAGGUUCUUUCUGAUCAUUUUGACUUUUCUUUUGGCUUCUAACACCAGGUCGAGCCCAAAGAUUUCUCUCUUGUAGGGCUGUGACCAGUUGAGGGGUGUUCGACACCUCCUUCCAUACAAGGCUUCAAAAGGUGCCAUCUUCAGACUAGAUUGAUAACUGUUGUUAUAAGCAAACUCAGCCAAAGAGAGGCAUUUAUCCUAGUUCUUGUCGUAUUCGAUUGCAUAAGCCCUUAGCAUAUCUUCAAGAAUCUGAUUUACCCUUUCGGUCUAACCAUCAGUUUGAGGGUGGUAAGCUGAACUUCUUACCAGCUUGGUUCCCAAGUACUUGCAAUUGCUCCCAAAAUCUGGCUACGAAUUGGGCUCCUCGGUCAGAGACAAUUGUCUGGGCAAUCCAUGCAAACACACAAUUCGGUCAAUGUACAACUCUGCAUACUUAUGAGCCUUAUCGGUGGUGUGCACUAGAAGAAAAUGAGCCACUUUCGUUAAUCGGUCCAUAAUGACCCAGAUUGAAUCAUGAUGUUGAGAGGUGUUGGGCAGACCCACAAUGAAAUCCAUGCUGAUGUCACCCCAUUUCCAUGAAGGUAUCGAUAGGGGUUGCAAGGCACCAGCUGACUUUAAGUGGCUUUCCUUUAUCCUCUAAUAGGUUUCACAUUAUGAUACAUACUUGGCUAUUUCCCAUUUCGUCCUGGUCCACCAAUACAGGGGUUUCAGAUCAUGGUACAUGAUGAGGACAUCCUCCACUAUUACCCGUUGGCAAAGACGCAAUUGGCCCAGUUGGCCCAAUUGUAGUCGGACGGUGACCGUGUGAGCCUCAGAAUUAUCCCACCUCGCUUAACUUGGGAGGAGGAAGCCACUUUAAAAAGGGAGAGCCACCCUUCCCCCAUUGGACUAGUCUUUUGGGGCGAUUGGGCCUUUCCCUGAGUUGGGUGUGCUUAAUGAACUGUUGGGCUCCGGGCAACCCUAAUUUGUUGGGCCUCGGCCAACCCCACCUGGGCUGGGUGUAUCAUCUGGUAUCAGAGCUAGGGCCCAUUUUAAGAAGGUGCGAAUGAUGAGGACAUCCUCCACUAUUACCCGUUGGCAAAGACGCAAUUGGCCCAAUUGGCCCAAUUGUAGUCGGACGACGACCGUGUGAGCCUCAGAAUUAUCCCACCUUGCUUAACUUGGGAGGAGGAAGCCACUUUAAGGGUUGAUUUGGUGAUCCGGGAUCCCGGGAGGAUCGGAGGGGAUUGAGGGGGAAAUUAGUUCAUUUCCCCCUCAACCCCCUCUAAUCCUCACGGGAUCCCCUUGUCACCAAAUCAACCCUAAAAGGGAGAGCCACCCUUCCCCCAUUGGGCUAGUCUUUUGGGGCGAUUGGGCCUUUCCCUGAGUUGGGUGUGCUUAAUGAACUGUUGGGCUCCGGGCAACCCCAAUCGCCCCAAAAGACUAGUCCAAUGGGGGAAGGGUGGCUCUCCCUUUUUAAAGUGGCUUCCUCCUCCAAAGUUAAGCGAGGUGGGAUAAUUCUGAGGCUCACACGGUCACUGUCCGACUACAAUUGGGCCAACUGGGCCAAUUGCGUCUUUGCCAACGGGUAAUAGUGGAGGAUGUCCUCAUCAUUCCCACCUUCUGAAAAUGGGCCCUAGCUUUGAUACCAGAUGAUGCACCCAGCCCAGGUGGGGUUGGCCGAGGCCCAACAAAUUAGGGUUGCCCGGAGCCCAACAGUUCAUUAAGCACACCCAACUCAGGGAAAGGCCCAAUCGCUCCAAAAGACUAGCCCAAUGGGGGAAGGGUGGCUCUCCCUUUUAAAGUGGCUUCCUCCUCCCAAGUUAAGCGAGGUGGGAUAAUUCUGAGGCUCACACGGUCGCCGUCUGACUACAAUUGGGCCAACUGGGCCAAUUGCGUCUUUGCCAACGGGUAAUAGUGGAGGAUGUCCUCAUCAGUACAUCUUGGUGCUUCUCGGGUGCAUGGAGAAUUUGGAGAGGCGAGAGCCUCAUCCAAGAGUCUCUUCUUGAGGUCUCUAUUUUUAGGAACCACCAGUCUAUCUUCAAAUAAUAGUAUCCCCUUGCUGUCUUGGCAAAAUCACUUAUACUUAUCCACUUUUUGAUUAAGAUUCUCUUUGAUGAUUUGUACUCCCUUGUCAAAUAAUCUAGUCUAACAAGGUUGGCUCGACGGAGAUGUGAGACAAGGUACCAGAAGGAAUUACUUCAAUCCUCAUCUUACUCAACUCAUCACAUAGGGUAUUGAUGCGACAAUUCAUCACCAUACAAUUGCAUUGUGACUUUCGACUUAGGGCAUCUGCUACCACAUUAGCUUUCCCCAGGUGGUAAUGCACUUCCAAGUCAUAGUCCUUGAUCAAUUCCAGCCAUCUUCUCUGCCUCAUGUUGAGAUCAGCCUGAGUAAAGAUGUACUUGAGGCUCUUGCGAUCUGUAUAGAUGUUGCAGUGAGUCCCCAUCAAGUAAUGCCUCCACAUUUUUAGGGCAUGAACCAUGACUGCCAGCUCUAAGUCAUGAGUAGGCUAAUUUUGCUCAUGAGGUCUGAGCGCUCUUGACACGUAGGCAAUGACUCGGUUGUCUUGCAUCAAAACACAACCCAGUACAGUGCCAGAGGCAUCACAAUACACAUCAAACGACUUGUUGCUGUCAGGCUGCGCUAACACAUGUGCUGUGGUCAGAUGUUGCCUCAAGGUGUGAAAGGCAUCUUCACAUUUCUGACCCCAUUCAAAUUUUGCUCCCUUUUUCAACAAUUAUGUCAUGGGUUUCGCAAUUUGAGAGAAAUCUGGAAUGAAUCGCCGAUAAUACCCGGCCAAUCCUAGAAAACUCUGAAUCUGACGAAUAGUUGUUGGCGGCUUCCAAUUCAUCACCUCUUGCACUUUAUCUGGAUCAACAAUUAUUCCUCCCUCAGAGAUAGUGUGACCCAAGAAUUUAAUCUCCUUCAGCCAAAUAUCACACUUAGACAAUUUGGUAUAAAGGCGAUGCUCCCUCAUAUUUUGGAGUACUGUGUGCAAGUGUUUGGCGUGUUCAGCUUCGUUCUUCGAGUACACCAGAAUAUCAUCAAUGAAGACCACCACAAACUUGUCCAAUUCAGGCAUGAAGACUGAAUUCAUCAUAUACAUGAAGUACGCGGGUGCAUUCGUCAACCCAAACGACAUCACCAAAUACUCAUACAUCCCAUAUCUGGUCGAGAAGGCAGUCUUUGGAAUAUCACUUGCUCGUAUCUUGAUCUGAUGAUAGCCGGAGCGAAGAUCAAUCUUGGAAAACACCUUAGCUCCAACCAAUUGGUCGAAAAGAACAUCAAUACGAGGCAAAGGAUACUUGUAUUUGAUAGUCACUGCAUUGAGUGGGCGGUAAUCUAUGCAUAAUCUCAAGCUCUCUUCCUUCUUCUUCAUGAACAGGACCAGACAUCCCCAAGGCGAAGUACUUGGGUGGAUGAAACCCUUGUCCAAGAAUUCUUGCAGCUACUUCUUUAAUUCUGCCAGCUCGGCGGGUGGCAUCCGGUAGGGCCUCUUGGAAAUAGGUGUCGUUCCCGGUUGCAAUUCAAUGGCGAACUCAAUAUCCCGAUCUGGCGGCAUUCCUAGCAACUCAUCAGGAAAGAGAUCUGCAUAAUCACAUAUCACUGGAAUUUUCUUCAAUGGUAGCUCUAUCAUGGAAAAAGCACAUGACCGAGUGGUUUCUUGACUAGGCAAAUAUGGUGAAUUUUCCACAGGUAGGGGAAUGGACUUCAACGAUGCGAUUGUCGACAUGUAACACUACUUGGUGUUGGGUCAUCCAGUUAGCUCCCAAAAUAAUAUCCACAUUAUCCAUCCCUAGAAUGAGGAGGGUGGUUUUGACAAUUUUGCUCCCCAAUUGAAUAGGCACAUUUCGAUUUAAUUGAUUGGUCACACUCUUGCCUCCCAACGUUGCAAUCAUGAAGGACCCUUGGGUAUGAUAGAAAGGCAGUUGACAUUUGACAUUGAAUUUCUGGCUAUUCAAGCUAUGUUAUGCACCAGAGUCAAACAGAAUCAAUGCAGGUUGAUUAAAAACGGAAAAAGUACCAGUCAUGAUGGGCGCUCCUUCAGGUAGCUCCUCCAGAGUAGUGAAGUUGAGCUUCCCUUGCUUGACUUGCACUUUCUGCUUCCUCCAUUUGUCUUGGUUAGGUGCUGGCAUCUGCCUUGGCUGAUUCUGCGGGCAAUUCUUGGCAUAGUGGCCUGCAUUGCCACACGUGAAGCAUUUGUUUCUCUUCCCUUGGUGGAACUGCUGCUGCUGGGUCUGAUUGUUCCUUGGAGCAGGAGCGGGGAAACGGUUGGGUACUUGCUACUACUGUGGCGGCCUAAUGACCCAUCUCCCUGCUUGAUGCUAGAAUCCCCUACUCUGACUGUUGGAGACAAUACGGAACCUCUGGGGUGGAGCUAAAGUUGCUGACAUUAGGGCCUUCCUCUUCUUCUCUACUCGGUGAGCUACAAUACAGUCUUCCUGUGAUAUGGCGAGGUUGACCAGUUCAUUGAAGCUGUCAGCCCGAACAAUGUUGAGGCAUUCACGAAGCUUGGUGUUGAGUCCCCUGCGGAAACGGUUUCUCUUCUUCUCAUCUGAAUUUGCAUGAUAACUCGCAUAUUGACAUAGGUCGUUGAAGGCCUGGGCAUACUGCAACACAUUGCGGGUUCCCUAAGUCAAUGCCAAGAACUCAUUGAGCUUGCGAUCUAGAAUCCCUGCUGGAAUAUGGUGUCCCAUGAAAGCAGUCUUUGCGUCGUCAAGGUAAGCUCCCGUGAGGAGUGGGAACUUGGACUCCACAACCCUGAGCCACACAUCGGCGUAUAGCGGGUCCUCUGCCUUGGUGAACAAGGGCGGUUGCGUGCUCAAGAACUCCUGGUACGUCGCCGCAGUCGGAGGGCGUUGCUGCUGGCCUCCACCAUACUACUGAGGGUGGGGUUGGCGCUAUAUCAGCUGCCGCAGAAUCUCAUUCUGCUGAGCCAUUAGCUCCUGCAUCGUGGGAGCUGGAGGAGGUGGUGGGGGAACCUGCUCGUUCUGCUCGCGAUGCUGCCUUGCUGCCAUCUGGAAACAAAAAUUUCGUCGUUGUUACCUUGAUUCACGAUUCCAAACAAUAUUCUUUAUAUAAUGUGGAGAAAAAUGACAUAUCAUAAUAUUGAACCAAACGAGGAUAACAUGCUUGCAUUCAUUUCACUGUCCACAAAAGUUUUUCCCGGGUUACAACAAUUUAGGGGAUCCACCCUUAAGCCUAGUCCAAAAAUUUGGUACCAAAACUAAGCUCGCGUGGUUUCCUAUCCUCCUAAUAUGUCAAACUAACCCGUCAACCCUGAGUGGUAGAGGCAACACUGGACGCAGGUGAAGGGGGUACUUCAGAUGGAGCUGCAUUUGGACCGGGAGCUGGCUCCAAUUCCUCGGGAUCCUCCUCUCCCUCACUUCCUGCCUCAUUUGCCUCCAUGUCUUGAUGGUGCAUCUCCAGGUGGUCAUUGGCUUCCUCAAGUUCCUCCUACACAUCAAGGAGCUGGAUCUCUAGGAUAUCGAUGGUGUUAUCCCGGAUCUCCACCUUCUGCUCUAGAGUCGCGAUGCGCUGGAUCAACUGUUCCACAUAUAGGUCUUUUUCCACCAAUUCCAAAGACAAGUCGACCAUGAAGUCCUCUCGACUGUCGAGAGUGAUCUUAGUAGUCUGAGCUAGAUCAGUGUAACACUAUAAAACCAUCAACUAAAAAUAAUGCAUUUAGUUAUUAAUGGUAAUUAUGGUAAUAAAUUUUUCAUUCAAGUGUUUGUUAUUUAUUUGCAUUUGGAAUAAUUUUUGUUUACUCUUGUUUGAUUUUGGAUAUUUAAUAGUGUUUCCUUAUUAAUGAAAAUCCAAUUAAAUAAAAUAAUAAUUAUUAGUCCAAAAAUAAAUAUUUUAGUUAUAAAUAAUUUUGGUACAAUUAUUAUGAAUUUUAGGGUUAUUUUAAAAUAUAUUUUGAAAUUAGAAAAGAAAUAGAAAAAAGGAAACUCUAGCCCUAACCCUAACGGCCCACUAAGGGCCCAUUAGCCGCGCCCCUCCCCUGCCCUAACCAGCAGCCGCCGCCGCCACCGUCUUCUUUCUCCCCCUCCUCUCUCUCUUACGCGCGGGCCCCACCCGGCCCCUCUCUUCUUCCCUCUCCCUUCCCCGACCGCGCAGCCACCAGGACGCCGCGCCCCGACCCCGGUCGAGCCCCGCGCCAGGACACCACCCCGCGCCCGAUGUCGUGCCGCCAGCCGACGCGCCGCGCCCAAGCUCCGCGUCCGAGCCACCCCGCGCGACGUCCCGCAGUCGUUCGUCUCCUCAGCGUAAUGGAGCUUCAACGCGACCAUUUCUCCCCUCCCCACUCUCUCCCCAUUGAUGCCGCCGCCAUCAAUGGCGUCUUGAAGAACCCGGUCGCCUCUCUCUCUCCCGACUUCCUCUCCUCUCCCCUCCUUCUCUCUAUAAAUACCGGCCGAGCUUCUCUGUCCCUCCUCCCUACCCGAGCUCGCCCCUUUCUCUCUCUCACUCUCCUCGCCAUUUGAGCCACCACCGCCAUCGCUGGAGUUCGCCAUGCCGUCGCCGGAGCUUAGUGGACCACGCAGCCCCGUCGGAGCCACCCGACGCCGAACCCCUUCUCUUCUCCACUCGACCGAACCCCCGUCGAACUUUCUCCCUUCACACGAGCAAGCUCAAGGUGGAAGACGACCCAAAAUAAUUUUAUGUAUUUUUGAAAUCACUUUUUGAUUUAGUUUAUGAAUUUUAUAAUCAUUGUGUUGUAAUAUGAGCAUGUUGUGAUUUGAAAUUCAUGCGUAUGUGCGCUAUGGAUUUUUGGUAGAUAUAUGCGAUAAAUUAGUGCACCAUUAUUAUUCAUGUUAUUUGUUUACGAUGACUUUUAGAAAGUUGGAUUAGAUAGAAGUAUGACAAAAAUGGAUAGACACAUGAUGGUGAUAAAAACGCUAGAUAGGUAAUUUUAUAGUUAAUUUUGUUCACAAUGAAUUUUGGAAAUUAUUUGGAAGGUUAUAAUCAUAAAUUCAUUUUAAUAGAUAAUAGAAGCUUUUCUUAACAUGGAAUUAGUAAAUGGUAUAGAAUUCAUGGUAAUAUAAAUAUUAUAGGUUAUUAGAUAAUUUAUCUCUGAUUAUUAUUAAUAAUACUUUCUUUUAGAAAGAAAAGAGAAAACUAAAAGAAUAUCACUAGUCGUAACAAAAAUAGGUUUUUACUAGCCAAAAUAAAGGUGUCCAUAAGAAUAACACUUAACAUCUUAGAAUUAGUGAAAUACUUGUUUAUGUCAAAAUAACCAUGUUUUUGUUAUAAAAAGCCCAAUUGGUGAUUUAUAUUGAUUCUUAGAAUAUUAAUGUUAGUAGAGUCAUGAAUGAACCAUUUUAGCUAUACGCAUAAGUUCUACUUAGUAAUAAAAGGGAUAAAAUUUAUUAGUAAUAAUUAGCAUUUAUUUUCAUAAAGAAUGUUAAUACAUGUUAUACUAGAUAAAACUAGUAUUAUAGCACUGACUCAUAAUUUCGUCAAUAAUGAUUCGCAGUAAUAGUCAUAAAUGAGUUAAUAAAUAUUUACGCUUUAAGACGUAUUUAUGAGUGUGAUAAGUGUGAUGUAUGAAUGUGAAUGUAAUGGUGAAUGAUUACCCUUGUACUGGUGUAUGUUUAUUUAUUUGGCGUACGUAUUCUUUUGUAUGUGCGAUAUGCAAAUCGAUGUUAGAAGUGGACUGUGAGUUAGACGAGCCUAACACGUUCGAGGACGACCUGCAGGACACGUUCGAGCAAGGCAAGUGGAUUCUCCAUCUGCAUAUUCUAUUUGUACCCAAUUAAUGCAUAUAAUAAUGUUUACUUUUUGGAUAUAUUGCAUAAUUUGAUGGGAUUUGCCUAAUUAAGGAUUUUUCUAGAUUUACCAACUGUAUUCCUUGAUUACCGUGGGAAAAUACUAUGCUUUGCAAAUUUGUGCUACCGCUCAACUUGAUAAUUUUGAUGUCACUCAUUAUUUGAUAUUAAUGCUCCAGAAAUGAAAUUGUCAUUAUGGUGUUAACCCGAUGGUUAAACAAGAUUAAUUCAUAUUAAUUGGAACAUGGAGUGACCACCCAGGAUAACAGUGCAACCACGAGUGCUAUCAUGGCUCUGGCUUUGGUAAUUAGCUUUAUAUGCUUAGUACCUAGCAACCUUACCUGAAAUAUGGGCAAGAGGGGGAGCGGCAGUGGUGGCAGCUCACGUUACCAUGGGGACAUAUUCUUGGCUAAGGUACCUCACCCAGAGGGCCUCCACACCGACUUGGAAACCUUAGCGGGUUGCUUUAUAUUAAGUGUAUUUUGUGAAAGCCUCAUAAUGGAUCCCUAGCCAUUCACCUUGGUAGUGUUUACGGGUCCGAUCAACCCAGGCUAGAUGGGAUACAUGGCUUGUGGGUAAAGUUGUACCACCUCUGCAGAGUGUAAAACUGAUAUGUCAGCCGUGCUCACGGUUAAGAGCAACCUGGACCCUCACAUGAUAAUUGAACUUAAAGAUGGACAAUAAAUCGAGAUCUGAUGAUCUACCAAUGGUUUGCUUAAGUGGUUUCACUUAAGUGUUUUUGUUAUACUCUUAAACCUUUGUUUAAUGGGAAUACUUGGGAUACACACUUAUUAGUAAGACGGGUGUUGUUAAUAAAAUAUUGAUCAACUAAAAUGCUUACAACUCAACCUUAGCCUCACCUUGUUAAACCUGCAUUAAUUUUCCCCCCACUUGCUGAGCCCGACCAUAAGUGAGCUCACCCUUGCAAAUAUUUUGAUCAUAGGGUGAUGAAGAAGACAUUGAUGGAGAUUUCGAUGAAUACUGAGUCUAACGAUGCGCCGGUCAUCUUCCUGUGGGAGGUCACCCAUAUUUAAUUCCGCCUUACUUUGAUGUUGAUACUUGUUAAAGAUACAAUGAUUUAGAUGAUGUAAUAAAGUACUCUACUCACUUUACGCCUUUAUUGCAUUGUCUUUUGAUAUAUUAC
rnacentral:lncRNA from 1 species